rnacentral:rRNA from 1 species
GCUCAGGACGAACGCUGGCGGCGUGCUUAACACAUGCAAGUCGAACGGAAAGGCCCUUCGGGGUACUCGAGUGGCGAACGGGUGAGUAACACGUGGGCAACCUGCCCCUAGCUCUGGGAUAACUCCGGGAAACCGGUGCUAAUACCGGAUACACACUUCUUGAGGCAUCUCAGGAAGUGGAAAGUUUUUCGGCUAGGGAUGGGCCCGCGGCCUAUCAGCUUGUUGGUGGGGUAAUGGCCUACCAAGGCGACGACGGGUAGCCGGCCUGAGAGGGCGACCGGCCACACUGGGACUGAGACACGGCCCAGACUCCUACGGGAGGCAGCAGUGGGGAAUAUUGCGCAAUGGGCGAAAGCCUGACGCAGCGACGCCGCGUGAGGGAUGACGGCCUUCGGGUUGUAAACCUCUUUCAGCUCUGACGAAGCGCAAGUGACGG